UAUAGUUCGUGUAGUGUGCCUUGUUAGGCGGAGCACAAGAUGAUUAGUACAGCGACAAAAAUUAUAAAAGUGAUUUCCUAAUGUUUGUUAUUAAUGCCGUAGUACACAUUUAGCAAAACGUUUUAUGAAAAUUACCGUCAAACAAGUAUAGGAUGUUGCCAAGAGCUUCAUAUAUUGUUUCUUUGCUGUCUGUUAUGAAAUACACUAGCGCCGAGUAUCGUUUAGUCUGAACGGGCACAAAAAUUGAUGCCGCGAAUGUCACUGCUUCUGUACGUAAUUUCUCAGCAAGAAAUGGUAUAUAUAUAUUUCUAUAAGUACGUUGACGUGUUGUCUUCACAGCUAACAUCUGCGCGAGACGGCACCGGAUUGCUCUGUCUCAUGAGCACAUUUUAGCUUGUAUGCAAAUUUUCUGUUUAUAUAUUGUCAAGACAACCUGUGUUUCUUGUGUUGAGUGUUCUGUAUGUCUUCGUGCAUUUGACAGGUUAAAUAACUGCCCGUGAUGUCAGAAUGAGAUAUUUGCACAACCAUGUAGCUAGCUGGCUGAGGUAUUUUCACAAUUUAACGCGGUGUUGUUAAAUCACAAGUUUGCAGUUUCAGCAGUGAUUGCAAUAAACUGAACAUUUCUUAUUGUUUAGGGAUGUCACGAUUUCGUGAGACGGAGGCAUCUCUGCACCACAUGGGAGCCUGUGGCAAAAUGCAGUCUGAGCAGCCCGACAAGGAAUCUGAUCUGCUUGCUUUGACAAGGUAUGGCUGGGCCUGAAGAGAAAGUGUAAGCAGACUGUGCUGUGUUGCUGAUCAGUGCUGAUCUCCACGCCUGAGUUGGUCCCACAACAUCCAGGCACCAGCAUGCUUUGCUUCAUCAUUGACAAGGUGCGCGGCAAGCUCUCACUCAAGCAACACAUUCCAGCGGUCUUCUGUCAACAGACUGGGUGUAUUGAAGUACCAUUAUAAGGUCCAAUAAACAACGCUUGUGAGAUGUAUGACGUGCUCUUGCUUAAAAUCGGAGGACUUCACUAUUAAUGUAAGCUUGAAUAGGUGUGCUGAAGAACCUGUGUAACGUGUACUUGUUUAUUAACAAGU